UACGUAGGGGGCAAGCGUUGUCCGGAAUCAUUGGGCGUAAAGAGCGUGUAGGCGGUCCUGUAAGUCCGCUGUGAAAGUCAAGGGCUCAACCCUUGAAUGCCGGUGGAUACUGCAGGACUAGAGUCCGGAAGAGGCGAGUGGAAUUCCUGGUGUAGCGGUGAAAUGCGUAGAUAUCAGGAGGAACACCGGUGGUGAAGACGGCUCUCUGGACCGUUACUGACGCUGAGACUCGAAAGCGUGGGGGAGCAAACAGG
rnacentral:rRNA from 1 species